CAGUCGCCGCGGUAAAACGAGGGGGGCAAGCGUUGUUCGGAAUUAUUGGGCGUAAAGGGUGCGUAGGCGGUUUGAUAAGUCUGAUGUGAAAUCUCUGGGCUCAACCCAGAGUCUGCAUCGGAAACUGUCGGGCUUGAGGAUGGGAGAGGUGAGUGGAAUUUCCGGUGUAGCGGUGAAAUGCGUAGAUAUCGGAAGGAACACCUGUGGCGAAAGCGGCUCACUGGACCAUUUCUGACGCUGAUGCACGAAAGCUAGGGGAGCAAACAGGAUUAGAUACCCCUGUAGUCCCUGUCUCUUAUAA
rnacentral:rRNA from 1 species